rnacentral:rRNA from 1 species
UACGAAGGGUGCAAACGUUGCUCGGAAUUAUUGGGCGUAAAGCGCACGUAGGCGGCUUAGCAAGUCGGACGUGAAAUCCCUCGGCUCAACCAAGGAAGUGCUUUCGAAACUGCUGAGCUUGAGUACGGAAGAGGAUCGCGGAAUUCCCGGUGUAGCGGUGAAAUUCGUAGAUAUCGGGAGGAACACCAAUGGCGAAAGCAGCUCUCUGGGACGGUACUGACGCUGAGACGCGAAAGCGUGGGGAGCGAACAGG